UACAGAGGUCCCAAGCGUUACUGAGAAUCACUGGGUUUAAAGGGUGCGUAGGUGGUCCGUUAAGUCAGUUGUGAAAUCCCACGGCUCAACCGUGGAACUGCUGGGUAUACUGGGUGCCUUGGGUCAUCUAGGGGCUGCCGGAACAAAUGGUGAGCGGUGAAAUGCGUAGAUAUCAUUUGGAACGCCAACGGCGAAAGCAGGCAGCUGGGGAUGCACCGACGCUGAGACACGAAAGCCAGGGGAGCGAACGGG
rnacentral:rRNA from 1 species